rnacentral:rRNA from 1 species
CCUACGGGAGGCUGCAGUAGGGAAUAUUGCUCAAUGGGGGAAACCCUGAAGCAGCAACGCCGCGUGGAGGAUGAAGGUUUUCGGAUUGUAAACUCCUUUUGUUAGAGAAGAUAAUGACGGUAUCUAACGAAUAAGCACCGGCUAACUCAGUGCCAGCAGCCGCGGUAAUACGGAGGGUGCAAGCGUUACUCGGAAUCACUGGGCGGAAAGAGCGCGUAGGCGGGAUAGCAAGUCAGAUGUGAAAUCCUAUGGCUUAACCAUAGAACUGCAUUUGAAACUGUUAUUCUAGAGUAUGGGAGAGGUAGGUGGAAUUCUUGGUGUAGGGGUAAAAUCCGUAGAGAUCAAGAGGAAUACUCAUUGCGAAGGCGACCUGCUAGAACCUAACUGACGCUGAUGCGCGAAAGCGUGGGGAGCAAACAGGAUUAGAUACCCGGGUAGUC